ensembl:lncRNA
GACUACAAGACGAAAGAAUUGGAGAGCAUUGAUGACGCCAACAUCAUGUUUGACCCCGGUGUGACCUGAGGCCACGUGAGAACCUCGGUGACAAUUAAACUCAAAUACAUUCUUAAAGUCAUCCGACGUUGCUUACAGUUCCAACUAUCAGCGGCACAAAUGAUUACAAAGCUAAAAAAAUCACCCAGUUACGUCUUUCUAGGAGGUUUCUUAAACCAAAAUAAAUGAUUCAUCCUACUGGUCGCCCGCGGUCAUAGCUGCAACUGCAAACACUGUCCGCCUGUUUUUCUUUGAUGGACCGCUGUCCGGUUCUCCCUUCCCGUUGCAUCUCUGCGGCCGUGCUCGCUGUCACCUUCGGAUCCCCGGCCAACUGCCGAAAGGAG